UGGGAGUGAGAAUGUUGGCAUGAGUAGCGAGAUGUGGGUGAGAAUCCCACAGGCCGUAAACCCAAGGUUUCCAGGGGAAGGUUCGUCCGCCCUGGGUUAGUCGGGACCUAAGCUGAGGCCGAAAGGCGUAGGUGAUGGACAACAGGUUGAUAUUCCUGUACUACCGAUAACCGUUUGAGAGAGGGGAUGACACAGUAGGAUAAGCUAAGCACACUGUUGGUUAUGUGUGCCCAAGCAUUGAGGCAGUCAAAGUAGGCAAAUCCGCUUUGAUAAUGCUGGGAUGUGAUGGGGAGCGAAAUUUAGUAGCGAA
rnacentral:rRNA from 1 species